UGAGGAAUAUUGGUCAAUGGGCGGGAGCCUGAACCAGCCAAGCCGCGUGAGGGAAUAAGGCCCUACGGGUCGUAAACCUCUUUUGUCGGGGAACAAAAGCGGGGACGUGUCCCCGUCUGCGUGUACCCGAAGAAAAAGCAUCGGCUAACUCCGUGCC
rnacentral:rRNA from 1 species